GCAAAUAAUUGCAUUUAGUUUCGACCUAAAAAUAUGAUCAUUAAGAUCCUUAUUUU
rnacentral:tRNA from 1 species